AGUCAGCAUCUCACCGGAAUGAUGAUAACCAUCUUCAUGACCUUUACAGCUUUUGCUGCAGCCGGUCUAAUAAAAGAACCCUUUGAGUGCAUUUUUUCUGACUCUGCUGGAAAUCAGAAGUGUUAUGGAGCAGAAGGACAGCAACUUAUUUUCCAUCUAACAAAUGCAAACAAUAGUGCAAUUACAUUGUUAAAGGAUGGAGUCUACAGAAUUUUAAAGACAGACAAGAAUGGGACAAUGACUGUGAAUAAGGAAUAUGUAAAUCAGUUUGAGCAAAUCCAACCUGGAACAUUUAGACUGGGUAACGCCAUGAAGAAACAUUCUGGUGUGUACUCUCUUGAAGAAUACGGAACUGAUGGCGCAAAACAUAGAGAAGUUCAAGUCUCCCUAAAAAUAAAAAGGCCAGUGUCAAAACCAGCAAUAUCUGAAAGCUGUUUUUCACCUGAACAGAAGACAGUCACAUGUUCUUCUUACGGAGAUGAAGUGGAGUUCUUUCUGGC